GGAGGCGGCGCCACAGGUGAAAAAAACCUGAUUAUAAACUAUACAGGCAUAUAUACAAGACACUAGAUAAGAGAGAAUACAGCCCAGACACAAGUGCAAAAGCUCAGGACAGCAACGGGGACACUGACUCAAUUCCUGGAGGAGAUAGCGGGCGAAUUCCGCACAUAUUACCAGACGCUGUACAAUAUCCAACCUGCAGCGGAAGAUAGG